GUAGGGAGCAAGCGUUGUCCGGAUUUACUGGGUGUAAAGGGAGCGUAGACGGUGUGGCAAGUCUGAUGUGAAAGGCAUGGGCUCAACCCAUAAACUGCUUUCAAAACUGUUUUUCUUGAGUAGUGCAGAGGUAGGCGGAAUUCCCGGUGUAGCGGUGGAAUGCGUAGAUAUCGGGAGGAACACCAGUGGCGAAGGCGGCCUACUGGGCACCAACUGACGCUGAGGCUCGAAAGUGUGGGUAGCAAACAGGAUUAGAUACCCUGGUAGUCCACGCUGUAAACGAUGAUUACUAGGUGUGGGGGGAUUGACCCCUUCCGUGCCGCANUUAACACAAUAAGUAAUCCACCUGGGGAGU
rnacentral:rRNA from 1 species